rnacentral:rRNA from 1 species
UGGGGAAUAUUGCGCAAUGGGGGCAACCCUGACGCAGCAAUGCCGCGUGAAGGAUGAAGGUUUUCGGAUUGUAAACUUCUUUUAUCAAGGACGAAGAAUUGACGGUACUUGAUGAAUAAGCCACGGCUAACUACGUGCCAGCAGCCGCGGUAAUACGUAGGUGGCAAGCGUUGUCCGGAUUUACUGGGUGUAAAGGGCGAGUAGGCGGGAUUGCAAGUCAGAUGUGAAAUGCCGGGGCUUAACCCCGGAGCUGCAUUUGAAACUGUAGUUCUUGAGUAUCGGAGAGGCAGGCGGAAUUCCCGG